rnacentral:rRNA from 1 species
GAUCAUGGCUCAGGAUGAACGCUGGCGGCGUGCUUAACACAUGCAAGUCGAGCGAAGCACUUGCCAUUGACUCUUCGGAAGAUUUGGCAUUUGACUGAGCGGCGGACGGGUGAGUAACGCGUGGGCAACCUGCCUCAUACAGGGGAAUAACAGUUAGAAAUGGCUGCUAAUGCCGCAUAAGCGCACAGGACCGCAUGGUCUGGUGUGAAAAACUGAGGUGG